UUUACCAUUUAUUUGUUGUUCUAGUCUCUCAGUGAUAGGAGCAGUUAUAUGCAUGUGAUAAAAUAAUAUUGGGCCAAUGUAAAUUGAGAUGAAUUGUGUUUUGUCUUUUCUACAUGGUCUAGACAUUG
ensembl:snoRNA